UGUCCAAGGCUCAUUUGCUGUGACUCGGCCAGCAUCGUGCAGGUCUUAGAAAGAUGCCAGCGUUGAGCCCCUCGUGCCCGGCGUCGGCUGUGGACUGUGCAACGGGGACUAUGCUAGAUGGCUCCAUGGGUGAAGGGGUGAGGGUUAUGCAUGGACAGCCUCCACCUGCACUCCCCCAUAAGGACCCUGGGAUCCUCUCUCAGCUCUCUUGUGAGGCUCACUGCUUUCCCUGCAGUUUGUGGAGCUGUUGUCUCUUAGAGUCUCCCUGGACCCCACUACCUGGGCUCUUAUCUCUCAUCUGGGAGAGAUUCCUUGUUCUGGGAAUUCUAGGGCAGGAGUAUUUUGAGGUGCUGCUAUCCCUAAACUAAAAGAAAGCAGCAUGUUCCUUUUUUCCAGUUACAUUCCUGACUCCUUUCCUGUAAUUUCCAUCACAGUCUGCUGCUAGCAGCCAAUUUACAGAUAUGCAGCUGUAAGAAAUGCAAUCCUGCUAGCAGGGUUCCAAGUCAGGAUUCAUGGGAAGGAGCCAUUACUUCACACAAAGCUUUAACCUUUUUUUUAAUCCAUCCCCUUCCUGUUUCCUCAGUUACAAUUCCCACGUAAUUACCUUCGAGUUGUACUAAUUGUGUACCUUAUUUAAAUUGACUGUAAAUCCUGUCCAGGCCAGUGAUUUUAAAGAUGGGAUUCUUCACUCGCACCUGUUCUUCUCCAGCUCUGGUCAUCAGAAUAUCAGGCAUGUAAGAUAACCCCGUUUCUUUAUUCUCUGGAGACAACUGUUCUAAUGCUCCUCUAAUCUACGCAGAUUCCAGCAGAGAAGAAUCCAACGCUAUGAUGACCUAUCUUAUUUCACAAGCUUGUUUCUAAAUGGGGUGCAGAGUAGAUACUAAGCACUGCUGUCGUUCUAGACUUGAAAUGUGCGGGAAUCAAUGCUCUAAAGGCUGAAGUAACAAUUUGUUAUACAGAGAGACAAAUUUCAAACCCUGAAGGGCCACCAUAGCCUUGAGUCUAAGGAAGGAGACAAAGAAACGCAGUUUUGAUAAGACCUUGCAAAUGGGACGGGAACAAACACAGAAUGGACGUGCAGCCACCAACACUGGCAAAUCCAAAAUGCUGCUUUGCAAACCUGUCACGCAUCCAUAUGCACAGACAAUGGUACCUCACACGCCUACAACAGAUUCUUAAUAAUGGUCCCAGCGAGUGCAGCAACCAUCUCCUGUGAUUUUAGGGUGCUGUGAUCCAGCCUGGAGAAGGAGCGUAAAAUUAGUAAAUCACUGCCCAAAGUGGCCCAGAACAAAAGCCAGUUUAUUUGAGGUCAGGAGGACAUAUUUCAUGUGUUUCAUAUAGUUUUGUUUUUUUAAAAUCUCUGAACAAACUGUUUUCCUUCCCUCUAGAAGAGUUCAGAGUGCGCUAUGGACAGAGAACGCGAGGCCAUCACGUUCUGCCUCAAGCCCCGCGAUAAAGUAGCCUCCUGUGCUGCCUGCUGAGGAUUAUGGAGAAAGUGUGAGUGCAAUACUAGGUGUUGCCCAGGGAAUACUUGUAAACUUGAAGUCUGUAGCCAGCCUGAAGAAGUUACCCAGCUGAAGAAAAAGGAGCGAUGAAGAGAGUAAUUCAAAGUCUACCAGAAUCAAGAUAUUUCUUCAAAAAAAUGCAAAUAUCAGAUCUCAAAACAGUAAAGCACUCCUUUCUUAAUCUUCCACUUUGAAGACAAGAACUAUUACAGAACCAUUUCUUAAACCCGACAGGAUUACACAGAGCGAAUGUUCAAACUAUUAACCAGCUUGUAGAACUCUGAAUGCAAACUGGGAUGCCAAGUGCCUCUGCUUUAGCUCACAGAUGCACACUGAACUUUAAAUCAAUACAGCAUGCACACUCAAACUGACAGGCAAGAAUGAGAGGAGUUAUUCCCACGUGAACUCUGAAGCUGUAAUUGUCCUGAGAAAUUUAGUCAGUCACAAUAAAAUGUGCCAAAAGAACGGACGUUUUCAUCUUUUCAAAGGUAAAACUAGUACAAAUGGCAAAGGAUUUGGGGAAGCUAACCUAAUGUCACUCCUGUUACUAGGAGUACUCUUUAACAGAUAAAAAGCGUGCGCUGACAAAAGACCAGGAAUGGAAAUUCUUCACCUAAUAGUGGUAAGGUACACAUACUGCUGCUUCACCUCCACCCCUGCUUUACAACUGGAGACAGUUCUUUUUAGUUUGUCCAGCUAAGCCAGGGAGGCUUUUCCAGUGAACUUGACCUUUUUUUUUUUAGGAUUAUCACAGUCCCUUAGGUUAGACCCCCUUCAACUCCUACAUAUUAGAAGCAAUUUUGAACACUGGUGCUCACAUUUUCACCAAGGCUAUUUGACCAGGAUACCUGCAGCUGUUAAGAAAACUUAAGUGAAGCAAGACAAUGCGCAAUGUACACGUUUAAAAAAAGCUGUACUGUGAGCAAGGGACCUAACAAAAUGCAACACCCACACUUCCUAUAAUUCACUGUGCUCACUAGAUGCCUCCCACGUUCCGUAUUAUGUCCCAAGUCUACCAACGUAUCCUCUAACCUCACUGUGCAACAAAAUCCUCAGAAAAGGAUUUUCUCACAAAAGUACAUUAAGCAUUAGACAAAACAAGGUAAAGGUGCGCCUGAAAUCAGAUCAUUUUUCAAGAUAUUUGGGACAGAGUAACAAGGGGAGUAACAGUGCAGCUGAAGAAACCAGGUAGUGCCGAGCUUAUGGGGAAACGUUAGGUAAAAUGGAGAUAUGGUCAACAUUGUCAUGAAUGUGAUUUCAGUGGGAUUCAGCUACGAAACAUACAGGAACAACUACAAAAAUACCUGCAGAUUUUCUAAUACUGAGAUCUUUACAGGAGAGAUUCACUAAGUACUUAGCUGCCAAAAAGUUAUUAAACCCCCCCACAGCUCUGACGGUCUAAACACCACAUUUUGUAUAGGUCCUAGCUUCUGUCAUGAGAUGUAAUCCCCCCACAUCCCUAAGCUCCCAAAAGACCCCUUACCAUGAAUUUGGUUUCACCUUUAGGCUGCAUAUCUGUGACAGAGCAGACUUUUUCCAGUUCUUGCACAACUUGAUGCAAAGGUUUUGGCUAUGAACGGUGACAAAGAUAAGUAAAUAAAAUUCACAAAUAACAAGGCUUUCUUACUUGUUUACUAAACAGUGACUAGCCUAAGUACUGUAGGUCGCUCUCUGUGUUCUUCUCUAUGAAAUCUGACUGAGGGAAAGCAUUACAGCAAUACUGAGAAAAGGUAACAAAAUUGCAACUGGGAAACCGUUAGGAAAAAUUUUCCACUGGAAUCUGUGUCAUCAGACUGCUCUCAUUAGAAAUGAGAAAACUUGUUUCUUAAUUUGAGUUUUGAACUUUCAAAGUAAUUAAUCUAUAGCAGUGGUGCAAAAGCUAAAAUAUUUUAUUAGAAUGUCCCCAGAGUUAGCCCAGAGAGAUUACAAACCACAGGAGGGUGUAUGUUUCUCCUCCAACUGGUUGUGGCUACGUAAAGAGAUACUUAGUUUGCCUUCAUUCACUUCUUCAUUCAGCCACUUGGUUCAAUUACAGGUUGUAAAAGUGUACAAUGUUGCAGGGUGCGGAGUGGGAAGGAAGGAAGGGUAAGAGUAAACACACUAAAUAUUUCUGCAAGAUGAACAAAGCCUAAAAUACAUACACAGGAGAAGUGACUCUGACUCUUCAAAAUAAAUAGGUUAUUGCUACAAUAACAAAGCAAGAUGCAAGAAGCUGGCAAUUCAUAUCUGAGAUUGUGCAUCUUCUGCAGAAUUUAAGCACAUGCCCCCUUCUGAUAGUAGGGCAUGGUAGUCAUCCAUGGUAACACAAAGACACAUACCUGUUUGGGUGAUUUAGGUUUGAAACUCAGGAGACUAUCCGUAUGCCUGUUUGACUCCAUGCCUAGGAAAGCAACAAGCAAAGAAAAAUCCCUCUAUGUGAACACUGCUGUCCAUUCUACCGAGACCAGCUAACAUUUAAGCAUUGUGUCUGAACUCCAGUGUGCAUCAUCGAUUAAAAACUACAAUAGCAAUGAAGGACAUUCAUCUACCCUGCUCUUACUGUGUUUUUCUAAUUAGCGUUAUUCUAAUAGAAAACAGUCAGUGAUUAUCCAAGACAUUUGUGAAAAAGUGAUCUUCAAGUAAGGACGCUGCUUUUCCAUCAAACAACAAGACUUAGCAUCACCCCGUAUCUCAGAAAGCACCCAAGAACUUCCUCCUAUACGUGGGAGUAAUGAAGUAUAGAUGCCCGUAAGAUAAAAUAAAAUGAACAAUUCAUUCUACUCAUUAUAGAUAGAAAAAAAAAAGCUAUUAUUUUUCUGGGUGUUUCAUCACUGAGCCAGCUAGCCAGGUUGAUAUUAAAACAGAGGACAGGAUUCCAGCAUAAACUGACUCUCAAAAGGAGCAACAUAUAUUAAGACAAAAAGCCAUGCUAGCAAUUUUCAGGUCAUAUACAUAUCAGUAAAUUCACCAUCUUAUUAGCUCAAAAUAAACACAACAAUAUCACAGAGCCCAGUCUCAUUUAUAACUGCCAUAGACCAUAGCAAUAUAGUUUGUAUCCAGUUUCUUUACCUCUUCCAGCACGAUUUCCUAUGGAAAGAGGGAAGAUGAGUCACUCAAGAGGUCAGUCAUUCAUUUGCAUUCACUAGCAUAUGUCCUGGAUGACCAUGUGCAUUUGCAAAUGCAUUCAAAUGUUCUGAUGUGCAUUUGCAGCGUUUCUUCCCUUGGGAUUCUUUUCGCAGAAUAUCUGCAUGUAUAAAAAUAAAAUUGGCUGAAACAGUGGUAAGGACAGCAUCUCAAAAUUUUAGUCAACUACAGGCAAAUCAGAAGAAAUAGCACCAUUUAUAUUACUGACACUUCACAAAUAAAGCUUAAAAAACAGCAUCUCACGAAGCAACUGCAAACUCACAAUUGUAAA